rnacentral:snoRNA from 1 species
AAACCAUGUGAUGAACUUGGAUUUACAUAAUCUCAUGACGGUCAUCUGAGAUUCACUAUGAUGUUAUAAUCCAAUAUUUCUGAGUGGUU